rnacentral:rRNA from 1 species
CGCGGCCUAUCAGCUUGUUGGUGGGGUGAUGGCCUACCAAGGCGACGACGGGUAGCCGGCCUGAGAGGGCGACCGGCCACACUGGGACUGAGACACGGCCCAGACUCCUACGGGAGGCAGCAGUGGGGAGUAUUGCGCAAUGGGCGGAAGCCUGACGCAGCGACGCCGCGUGGGGGAUGACGGCCUUCGGGUUGUAAACCUCUUUCGCCAGGGACGAAGCGCAAGUGACGGUACCUGGAUAAGAAGCACCGGCCAACUACGUGCCAGCAGCCGCGGUAAUACGUAGGGUGCGAGCGUUGUCCGGAAUUAUUGGGCGUAAAGAGCUCGUAGGCGGUCUGUCGCGUCGGUCGUGAAAACUUGGGGCUUAACCCUGAGCUUGCGGUCGAUACGGGCAUGACUGGAGUUCGGCAGGGGAGACUGGAAUUCCUGGUGUAGCGGUGAAAUGCGCAGAUAUCAGGAGGAACACCGGUGGCGAAGGCGGGUCUCUGGGCCGAUACUGACGCUGAGGAGCGAAAGCGUGGGGAGCGAACAGGAUUAGAUACCCUGGUAGUCCACGCCGUAAACGGUGGGCGCUAGGUGUGGGGGCCAUUCCACGGUCUCUGUGCCGCAGCUAACGCAUUAAGCGCCCCGCCUGGGAGUACGG